GACGAACGCUGGCGGCGUGCUUAACACAUGCAAGUCGAACGGAAAGGCCCUGCUUUUGUGGGGUGCUCGAGUGGCGAACGGGUGAGUAACACGUGAGUAACCUGCCCUUGACUUUGGGAUAACUUCAGGAAACUGGGGCUAAUACCGGAUAGGAGCUCCUGCUGCAUGGUGGGGGUUGGAAAGUUUCGGCGGUUGGGGAUGGACUCGCGGCUUAUCAGCUUGUUGGGGGGGUAGUGGCUUACAAAGGCUUUGACGGGUAGCCGGCCUGAGAGGGUGACCGGCGACAUUGGGACUGAGAGACGGCCCAGAAGCCUACGGGAGGCAGCAGUGGGGAAUAUUGCACAAUGGGCGGAAGCCUGAUGCAGCAACGCCGCGUGCGGGAUGACGGCCUUCGGGUUGUAAACCGCUUUGGCCUGUGACGAAGCGUGAUUGACGGUAAUGGGUAAAGAAGCACCGGCUAACUACGUG
rnacentral:rRNA from 1 species